rnacentral:rRNA from 1 species
GACGUAGGGUGCAAGCGUUGUCCGGAUUUACUGGGUGUAAAGAGCGCGUAGGCGGUCUUGUAGUGUGAAGUGAAAUCUCCAGGGCUCAACCCGGAAACUGCUUUGCAUACUGCGAGACUUGAGGGAUGCAGAGGUUUGUGGAAUUCCUGGUGUAGCGGUGAAAUGCGUUGAUAUCAGGAGGAACACCCAUGGCGAAGGCAGCAAACUGGGCAUCAUCUGACGCUGAGGCGCGAAAGCGUGGGUAGCAAACAGG